AGAGUUUGAUCAUGGCUCAGAAUCAACGCUGGCGGCGUGCCUAACACAUGCAAGUCGAACGAGAAAGUGGAGCAAUCCAUGAGUAAAGUGGCGCACGGGUGAGUAACACGUGACUAACCUACCUUUAGUGGGGGAUAACUUCGGGAAACCGAGGCUAAUACCGCAUACUGUCUACGGACGAAAGGAGCAAUUCGCUAGAG
rnacentral:rRNA from 1 species